GAGAGAGGGAGGGAGGAGGAAGGGAGAGAGGGAAGCAGGGAGGGAGAGAGAACAGGAGAAGAAGGAGGAGGUACAGAAGGACUUGGUGUGCUAUUAUGCACAUUUCACAGAUGGCACAGAGUGGGGAAGUCAGUGACCCAAGGUGGCAAGGAGAUGGGAUUCAUUGCUGAUGAUUUUCUGGAUACCAAGAAGAGAUUCAAGCCAGAUAAGGAGACUGAAGCAUCUAGAGUUGGAGUAAUUUCCACAAGAUCACAGAGGCAAGAUUUCACUCUGUCACCCAGACUGGAGUGCAGUGGCACAAACAUAGCUCACUGAAGCCUCAAACUCCUGGGCUCAAGAGAUCCUUCUGCUUCAGCCUCCUGAGUAGCUGGGACUUCAGAAUCCCAGUCCUCUCUCUCUCACUGACCCCGAAGAUAAGCAUUGGAAAGGGGAGCUUUGGGGAAAUGAAUCUGCCCUGUCAUCUGCGUAUAGAGCUAAUCUUAAAUCCCAACUGCCAAAUGGAUCCUGAGGUGUCAGAAACUCUCCCGAGAUAAGGGGGCUUCUAGCAACCAUCUGCAUUCUGGACCCAG
ensembl:lncRNA LINC00970 long intergenic non-protein coding RNA 970